CAUCAACAAAGGGUAUAUUUGUAAAUUUAGUCAUAUUUUUAUAUAGAUUUAUCUCCAACCAAACGUGGUAAUCUUUUUUCAGUGUUAUUUUUCGGAGUAAUUUUUCUACCAAUCAAAUAUAUAAAAGUUAUUUUCCUCUAUCAUCAUUUUUUCAAAUAAAUAAUUUUCAAAAAUUAUCAGAUUAUUUCGUAAUCUGACAUACCUCAAUCAAACAGAUCCUCAGAGUUUUUCCGACCUCCCAUGCUCAAGUUAGACAGAAUUUAAAGAACAAUGGAAAAGCGAAUAGAAAAUAAGAGCAAUGGAAUGGAACUCGAGAGAUUGACUUAAAGAUCUCCUUUUAGGGUUGAAAUUAGGCUCGGGCUAGUCCAACUUCGAAUCGAGCUUCAGACUAGAUCGGAAAUAGU
rnacentral:lncRNA from 1 species